GGCUGGUCUGAGUACAGUGGUGUUGUUUACAACUAAUUGAUCACAACCAGUUGCAGAUUUCUUGGUUCCUUCUCCACUCCCACUGCUUCACUUGACUAGCCUUAA
ensembl:misc_RNA Y_RNA Y RNA